rnacentral:lncRNA from 1 species
ACCGAAAAGGGUUAUGUGGGAAGCAUGUGCAAAAAACAAGUUCGUUGACAAUAGAUGAAGGCAAUUGAAGACUUUUAAAUUAGAAGAAAAAUGACUAAGGGGUAAGCAAUGAUCAAGGUAGAAGAGGAAAAGAAAAAAUUAGAAGAAAAAUGAACAAGGGGUAAGAAAUGAUCAAGGUAGAAGAGGAAAAGAAAAAAUUAGAAGAAAAAUGAACAAGGGGUAAGCAAUGAUCAAGGUAGAAGAGGAAAAGCAAAAAAAAUUAAAUUAUGAGUUGCUCAGGAAGCAAAGACUUCUCUACAGCAUAUAUGCAAUUGAUUUCAGAAGGAUCUCCAUUUCACUAUACCGGAAAGCUAACAAGAAUGACAAUGUCAUCUAUCAGCAUCAAGAGAAUAUGUCAAAUAAAAAAGUACUUCUGAAUUUGGUACUUUCAAUUCAAGAUAUGAACUAGCUCAAAUGAACUGCUAUUCACAUCCACGCUUUUUGUGAAUAUUAGACAGCUAAUAUAA